ACUGAGUGGCGGACGGGUGAGUAACGCGUGGGUAACCUGCCCUGUACUGGGGGACAACAGUUAGAAAUGACUGCUAAUACCGCAUAAGCGCACAGGACCGCAUGGUCCGGUGUGAAAAACUCCGGUGGUACAGGAUGGACCCGCGUCUGAUUAGGUAGUUGGCGGGGUAACGGCCCACCAAGCCGACGAUCAGUAGCCGACCUGAGAGGGUGACCGGCCACAUUGGGACUGAGACACGGCCCAAACUCCUACGGAAGGCAGCAG
rnacentral:rRNA from 1 species